rnacentral:misc_RNA from 1 species
UCUCCGUUGGUGAACCAGCGGAGGGAUCAUUACUGAGUUACCGCUCUAUAACCCUUUGUGAACAUACCUAUACGUUGCUUCGGCGGCCGUCCCCCGGGGCGUCCGCCGGAGGAUAACCAAACUCUGAUUUAACGACGUUUCUUCUGAGUGGCACAAGCAAAUAAUCAAAACUUUUAACAACGGAUCUCUUGGUUCUGGCAUCGAUGAAGAACGCAGC